GAUGAACGCUGGCGGCGUGCCUAAUACAUGCAAGUCGAGCGAACGGACGAGAAGCUUGUUUCUCUGAUGUUAGCGGCGGACGGGUGAGUAACACGUGGAUAACCUACCUAUAAGACUGGGAUAACUUCGGGAAACCGGAGCUAAUACCGGAUAAUAUUUUGAUCCGCAUGGUUCAAAAGUGAAAGACGGCCUUGCUGUCACUUAUAGAUGGAUCCGCGCUGCAUUAGCUAGUUGGUAAGGUAACGGCUUACCAAGGCAACGAUGCAUAGCCGACCUGUGAGAGUGAUCGGCCACACUGGAGCUUAGACACGGUCCAGACUCCUACGGGAGGCAGCAGUAGGGAAUCGUCCGCAAUGGGCAAGAACCUGACGUAACGACGCCGCGUGAGUUGUGGAGGUCUUCGGAUCGUAAUACUCUGUUAUGAGGGAAGAAUAUAUGUGUAAGUAACUGUGCACAUCUUGACGGUACCUAAUCAGAAAGCCACGGCUAACUACGUG
rnacentral:rRNA from 1 species